AUGACAUUCACCGACGAGUACAAGGGCGACAACGCCGUGGAGGCGCACGGCAACAACAAGUUGCACGUCAUCCACACCAACGACAAGAAGCAGAUGGUGAUCACCCUCGCGCAGACGCAUGCAGUAGAACACACGAGAAUCAUGGCGGAUGCACGUCUCUGCAACCAGCGCUGCAAGUACACCAGGGAGCUCCACGACAUCCACCUCCACAGCAAUCACAAGCUCCACGUCCUUUGCACAAGCAAGGGCAAAGACGUGGACAAGAUGUUGUCCAUGUUCAGGAGGAAGCUCGGCGGAAUGCCCGUCAAACUAGUUGGCGUUGAUGUCGAGUACACACACUACGAGAAGCCACAGCGUGCAGCGGUACUACAGCUAUGCGUAGAAAAAGAAUGCCUUGUCUACCACAUAUCUGCAGCUAAAGACAGGCCAAUGGAACUAGACAAAUUCCUGAUGAAUGAUGAGUACACCUUCGUCGGAUUCGCUAUUGAAGGAGACAAAAGCAAGCUGAAGGUAUCUGGUUUGGAGAUCAACUCCAACAACUACAUUGAUAUUCAGGUGGAAUGGAGAGACCCAUACAAUAAAAAGAAGUUUGACUCUUUGGCUGAUGUUGCUGGCAGGAUGAUAGACAUUCACUACAAUGAUAUGAAGAAAAAAAUUAACCGCAAGGAGGACCAUACUCUCUGGGGAUUUUGCCCACUGCCAGACAAGCUUAUCAAGUAUGCAGCAAUAGAUGCAUUCGCAACAUAUGAGUCAUGGAGAAUCAUCUACGAUGUCAUAAUGGUACUGGACAGGGCAAAAAGAGACAAAGAAGAAAAGAAGAAGAAGAACAAGGCUGUAAUCCAAUACAACAACUAG
rnacentral:rRNA from 1 species